rfam:Nosema bombycis CQ1 unplaced genomic scaffold NBO_48, whole genome shotgun sequence.
GCCCGGCUAGCUCAGUCGGUAGAGCAUUAGGCUCUUAACCUAAGGGUCGCGGGUUCGAGCCCCGCGUCGGGUG